AACGAACGCUGGCGGCGCGCCUAAUACAUGCAAGUCGAGCGAGAAGGUGUAGCAAUACACUUGUAAAGCGGCGAACGGGCGAGGAAUACAUGGGUGACCUACCAUUGAGUGGGAAUAACCAGCCGAAAGGCUGGCUAAUACCGCGUACGCUUCCGGAUUUUCGUAGUUCGGAAGGAAAGCGNUACCGUGGGUAGUCGCGCUCUUUGAUGGGCUCAUGUCCUAUCAGCUUGNGGUUAGGGUAAC
rnacentral:rRNA from 1 species